GUCGGCAUGGUCUAGACUGGUUAUGGCCCCAGACUCAUAAUCUGGAGAUCCCGGGUUCAAAGACUAUGGACAAGAUGUUCAUGGCUGAAAGUCCCGGUGCCGACA
rnacentral:tRNA from 1 species